CUACGACCGGCGAUUGAUUCCCUGCUGUGCUAGCGACGUUUCCCACGCCUAGCUAACGUGCCGCACCUAUUUUCCCGGCACUCGACAGCAACUUUGCGACGCGCUCACCAUUUGCCCAUUAUAACGUGCGGUUUUAUUUCCUUACCAUUUGGACGUCGCGAACUGCCCAUACCGACAGAAAUGGAUGAUUCCAUGGAGACCCCGGAGCAGCUUCCCGUCUCAACCGGGCUGCCUCGUACCACACCCCCAUCGUCUCCGGAACGUGUGCGUUAUCGUAAGAGUGGUAAACCGUUGACGUCUGAUAUCGGAGAGAGUGACUCGUCUUCCGAUGAAGAGAGCGUAAGCAUUCGACCACCGACCCCAGUCCGACAGCUGCCUCCCGAGCAGCAUGUGCGCACGCCUUCACCUCCGCUGCCGUUUGAUCCAGUGCAUCGCGUUGAGUUUUCAGCGGGUGAUGGUGU